rnacentral:rRNA from 1 species
AACGAACGCUGGCGGCAUGCCUAACACAUGCAAGUCGAACGAGACCUUCGGGUCUAGUGGCGCACGGGUGCGUAACGCGUGGGAAUCUGCCCUUGGGUUCGGAAUAACGGUGAGAAAUUACUGCUAAUACCGGAUGAUGUCUUCGGACCAAAGAUUUAUCGCCCAGGGAUGAGCCCGCGUAGGAUUAGCUAGUUGGUGGGGUAAUGGCCUACCAAGGCGACGAUCCUUAGCUGGUCUGAGAGGAUGAUCAGCCACACUGGGACUGAGACACGGCCCAGACUCCUACGGGAGGCAGCAGUGGGGAAUAUUGGACAAUGGGCGCAAGCCUGAUCCAGCAAUGCCGCGUGAGUGAUGAAGGCCUUAGGGUUGUAAAGCUCUUUUACCCGGGAUGAUAAUGACAGUACCGGGAGAAUAAGCUCCGGCUAACUCCGUG